rnacentral:rRNA from 1 species
UACAGAGGUCUCAAGCGUUGUUCGGAUUCAUUGGGCGUAAAGGGUGCGUAGGCGGCGCGGUAAGUCGGGUGUGAAAUCUUGGAGCUUAACUCCGAAACUGCAUUCGAUACUGCCGUGCUUGAGGACUGGAAAGGAGACUGGAAUUUACGGUGUAGCGGUGAAAUGCGUAGAUAUCGUAAGGAAGACCAGUGGCGAAGGCGGGUCUCUGGACAGUUCCUGACGCUGAGGUGCGAAAGCGUGGGGAGCAAACAGG